UCCUUGUAUUUGUCCAUAUUGAAACAAACCGUUUUGAGUUUACCAGAACAUACAGUGACCUACCUUGGAGGGGAGGCCCGGUCUCCCCGGCCCCUCUCCCCGGCCUCCCCUGCCCGCGCCGUGCAGAGCCCCAGCCGCCGCCCCCAUUCCCAUGGAAACUCCGGCCGCCCGGGCGGAAAGGGCAGGCCGAGAGGGGACAAAGGAGCUGGGGAAGAGGGAAGUGUGCGGGAAUGGGGAAGCGCCGGAAAGGAGGAAGGAAGCCGAGAAGCCCAGGCCGGCCCGGCCGAGGAUCUGGGCCUCGGAGCAGGGGAAAGUUGGAGCGAGAGAGGGGAGAGGACGGGGCCCGCAGCGCCGGGAGCCUGGUGGGAGCUUUGUGCGUGGCCGGGAAAGCCCCGUAGGCCUGGCUGCGGGCAGCCUGGGUGGGCUGGAACCGGUGGGGCCUGCGCCGGGGUGUCGGGAGAAGCCGGUGGGGCUGCUUCGGGGGACCCCCGAGCGGGCCGAGCCAGGGUCCCGGGCGGGUGUGGAGAGGACACCGGCAGCGAGAAAACACCGAGUUGUGGAAGGAAAAGAGCUGAAAGCAAGACCCAGGAGCAGCAGAGGUGGCUGUGGUUCCGGCAGAGGUGGCUCACAGGUGAACGCGGCAGUAUGUCAGGCUGUGACGAGUGGUUGCCCUUUCUUCUGCCAUGCCAGCACAGGAUGGAUGGAGAGGAUCCAGAGUGCUCUAUGCCUCGUUAUAUGUGUCCUGUGGUGCUUGAUAGAUGCCCCAGCCCAGGUUUGCAGCCAGUGGUGGAGCCGCCUGAGGGGAAAGGGCCAGCCCUGGGUCUGGUCAUUUUGUUUGGGUUUUUUGAUCAAUAAAAAAAAGUGGUGAGUGUGAUGGUGUGUGUGUGUGUGAUGUCAUUUGGGGCACCCCAAUGUCACCAGGGGAGCAAUGGUGCGGUGGAGGAGCCAGGUGAGUGGGACAUGUGGGAAUUACAUGGGGUUCCCCCAAAAGAGGUGAGUCACAGCCCGAGUGGGGCUGGGCAGAGUGGGGACAGGGCAGAGAGAUGGAAGCCACAAGAUGGUGACAGUCCCUGUCGGAACUGAACAGCGCUGAGAGCAGCCGCUGCUCAUCACCCUAAUGAGGGCUCAGAGCAGAAUAACUAAGGGGGUGGUGCCGCCCGGCGGCCGACGGCCGGUACUGCACAAGAGGAACCGCGCAUGCGCACUGGGAGGAUGAUCAUUCCCCACCCCUCGGCUCCGCCCCCGGGCGGGGCUUUGCGUCGGUUCCGCCGAGGCCGGGCCAGCGCUGGCUCGAGGACGAAGCAGCCCAAAGGGCGUUCCGGCGGCUUCCCGCCAGCCAGAGCGGUUCCUGUGCCGCCCGCCCGCAGGCACGGCUGCCCUGCCCGGGCCCGAGAACGGACGUUAGCGCUCCGAUAGCGGAUAUUACCGCUAACAGGGCCCUCCGAAGUGCCGGACGGUCCCCGAGAAAUUCAUCUCUAUGAUAUUUCCGUCCCCCAGAAUACCGGAAGUGACUAUCAGUCCUCCGGAAGUCCACCUCUGUGGCCUUCCGGUCCUCCAGGACGCCGGAAGUGACUAUCAGUCCUCCGGAAGUCCACCUCUAUGGCCUUUCGGUCCUCCAGAAUGCCGGAAGUGACUAUCAGUCCUCCGGAAGUACAUCUCUAUGGCCUUUCGGUCCUCCAGGACGCCGGAAGUGACCAUCAGUCCUCCGGAAGUCCACCUCUAUGGCCUUUUGGUCCUCCAGGACGCCGGAAGUGACCAUCAGUCCUCCGGAAGUCCACCUCUAUGGCCUUUCGGUCCUCCAGGACGCCGGAAGUGACCAUCAGUCCUCCGGAAGUCCACCUCUAUGGCCUUUCGGUCCUCCAGGACGCCGGAAGUGACCAUCAGUCCUCCGGAAGUCCACCUCUAUGGCCUUUCGGUCCUCCAGGACGCCGGAAGUGACCAUCAGUCCUCCGGAAGUCCACCUCUAUGACCGUUUGGUCCUCCAGGACGCCAGAAAUGCCCAUCAGUCCCCCGAUGUCAAUCUCUAUGGCUCUAUGGUCCUCCAGGACACUAGAAGCGUUUCUGGUUCUUCUCAAGAAAACAUGCUUCCAACAUUCUAACACUAAAGAAAAUGGUCAACAAUUAAGGACAAAAAUGUCUUAAGUUUAGAAAAAUAAAACAGCAACUAUCCGAAGUGCCGGACGGUCC
rnacentral:lncRNA from 1 species